rnacentral:lncRNA from 1 species
AAAUCUCUUUAAGAGGUUCUUUAGUUUUCAGAAUGGCUGAUGUAAUAACUUUGCAGACUGAAAUUAUGUAUUUGAACUCAAGUAAUGAAAUCAAUGACUAAUCAAAGUCUAAGGUAACCCUCAGUUAGCACAUGUAAUUUGAAAUUUGGCACUAUUCCGAGUGAUUUACUGUUUGCUAGCAGAGGUCACAACUGUGAAACUUGAUCAUCCAGGUGACACAAGCACCAUUUAUUACACCCUCAGGAUAAAUAUCAAAGACUCUCAUAUAUUUAAUGCACUAGCAAUAGCAAUAACCAUGGUGCUUUUAGCUUAUAUAAUGCCAUACCAUUGUUUCAAAGAACUUACAUUCAAGAGUAUUUCAUAACUCAUCUGGGAAUUACUCAGUUACAUAAAAUCAGAGGA